UCGGGGCUUCACAUUAAUAUUAUUGAAUAAACGAAAAAAAUAUAACAAAGAAAAUCAAAAUUAUUUGAUGUCAUUAAACAUGGAAAAUAAACAAAAACUUCAUAGCUACCAUAUACUUUUUUGUUAAGGCCAGGGGAUCAAGUUCAUAUAGUCAACUAAACAUGUUUACAUUAUCCACUAAAAAAUACAUUAUUAACAGACUAGAAAAAUCUCAAACGUGCAUAGAAUUUCUUUUCUUGUUCCAUUAUUCCACUUAUGUACAUACAUACAAAUCCCUUUCCAAAUAUAUCUUCCUUCUUAGCUCCACAAUUAAUUGUUAGAGGACCAAAUAUGUGUCACACGAAGGGGAGGAAGAACAGGAAAACAACAAGCUGAAACAACAACAAAAUGGAGCUGUAAAUUGCUGCCAGAAAACAAACUAUAAAGAAGAAGAACUGAAACUUGUUUUAAUACUUUUAU
rnacentral:lncRNA from 1 species